rnacentral:rRNA from 1 species
GACAGAGGUCCCGAGCGUUGUUCGGAUUCAUUGGGCGUAAAGGGUGUGUAGGAGGCUAGGUAAGUCAGGUGUGAAAUCUCAGAGCUUAACUCUGAAACUGCGCUUGAUACUGCUUGGCUAGAGGAUCGGAGGGGGUAACGGAAUUUAUGGUGUAGCAGUGAAAUGCGUAGAUAUCAUAAGGAACACCGGUGGCGAAGGCGGUUACCUGGAAGAUUCCUGACUCUGAAACACGAAAGCCAGGGGAGCAAACGGG